CAAAGGAUCACAGAUUGCUGGAGUGGUUGUUUCAUUUGAUCCCAAGCCUAUCCAGGAGAUUGAUAAAAAAUAUUUACGGAUCUUUGGUGAACACUAAAUGCAAAUUGUGCAUAUAUAACAAAUUGUUGCGUCAUGAUCUCGUAAGAUAUUUCUAUCUUAUACUUAUUUGCUUUUAUAUGUUUAUAUUAUUCUUUUGCACUUUUUUUUAUGUAUAUUGUUCUUUUGAUGAAAUAUUUGCCUAUCUUUAAAUUAUUAAUAGAAUUCAUUCAUCUAUUAAUAUUCUUUUAAGGUGUUGUUAGCGGACAUAAAAAUUACAUUAUUUUUGCUACCUAGAUUCUUAGUUUAAUAAUAAUAUCACUAUGAACAAUUAGGUUUUCCCAAGAAUUGGAUGAGUUUACCCAGACAUAUCCAAGAGUUUAGGGAUGACAUCAAUAGAUUCUUGGACUAUGCUUACUCUGUUUUGCUCUUUUUGCCAAUUAAAUUUGGAUGUUUAAUUUUGUCAAUGGAUAUAUUAAAUUUAGAAAAUAGCAAUGGCUAACAGAAGUGUGCGAUGAGUUCCGUCCAAACUUGAAAGGUUGCAUCUUCUUCUACUAUUCUUGAUAGGUGUGGCUCUGUCCUGCACCCAGGACAAGUAGAUAUCUCAUUCUUUGGGGACUUUGCCGCUACUGACGAACC